rnacentral:lncRNA from 1 species
GCAGGAGUCAACCACUGCCCAUCUGGCUCGAGGCCUCUGGGGACAGAGGCAGGACCUCUGAGGCCCGGUGCGUAUGUCAGUGUGAGGGGCCAGGCAGAGGGCGACCCGGGGAACCAGGAGGCCUGUCUGGGACGGGCGGGGCAGGGCUGGAGACGGGCAGCAGAGACCAGGGCAGACAGGUCCCCUGGACAGCGCCUGCCCGCCUCUCCCUCCCUCCCCGGCGCCCCCUCUGGCGGGAGGGGCACAGCCACACCUUCAGGGCCUGAGUUCUCAGACAGGAACAGAAAUCCAAGUAAAGAACCACCAGGAGAUAAAGUGGGGGCGGGGCGGGGCAAAGAGACACAUGGCCCGCCCCCUCACUGCUGGGGGAGGGUCCUCGGGGGCUCCUCCCACCCCUCCGGAGGCGGGGCAGGUCUGGCAAGUCGCACAGAAACGGGGCCAACAAGGUCCAGGGCAAGUNNNNNNNNNNACACACACACACACACACACGCCCCAACCCCUGUACCCGGUGCCAGGACAGGACAAGGAAAAGUUGGAGGGGAGAGCGCGCUGGCCCCCAGAAUAGCCACUGACGGGGCCCACCGGCAUCAGACAGGGAAGCACCUCCAAGGGACAACGGCGGCUGUGGCCUGCCCACCCAGCAUUGGCCUCAGGAGCAUUUCGGGUGGAGCAUGCGCUAGGUGCCUGGAGGGUCCAAGCCCUGAUGAGCAGACUUGGCUGCCCCUCUGGGGAUUCCUGCGGCCCCUAGCCUCGACCCCAGGGUGCACAGCUGCCCUGAGCUGGCCGCCAGCUCCCCAGCCACUCUGUCCAGCCAUCCCCCCAGACACCGGGGCUGUGCCUACGGCCCUGUUGAGGGCUCUGGUCACCCCACGGAACGGCAGACAACCAUACCCAGGUCAGCUGGGCCCCCGAGCACCAUGCUGGCACUGCCCAGCGCUCAUGUGUCACCUGCCUCCUGAAGACCCCCGAGGCCAAGGCUGCUGCAGCCAGACCUGGAGGCCAGGAUGGCCCUGCUGGCACCAUCCCAGCUGUGGAGAGCUCGCCCACCGGACGGGCAGCAGCCCGGGACAGAGCCGAGCGGCCAAGGGCGGGCGCCUGCCUUCCGACCCUCAGCUCCCCCAGGAGGCUGCCAGCAGCCGGCUCUCCCAUCCAGCCGCCUCAGGAGCCUCUCGUGUCUCCUCCUAG